rnacentral:rRNA from 1 species
GACGAACGCUGGCGGCGUGCUUAACACAUGCAAGUCGAACGGAAAGGCCCUGCUUUUGUCGUGUGUUCUAGUGGCUAACGGGUGAGUGACACGUGACUGACCUGCCCUUUACUGUGGGAUAAUUUCUGGAAACUGGGGCAAAUACCGCAUAGUACCUCCGCCUGCAUGGUGGGGGGGGCAAAGGUUCGGCGUUCGGUGAUGGAAUCGCGGCUUACCAUCGUGUUGGUGGGGGAGUGGCUUACCAAGGCUUUGACAGGUAUCCGGCCUGAGAGGGUGGACGGGGACAUUGGGACUGAGAUACGGCCCAGACUCAUACGGGAGGCAGCAGUGGGGAAUAUUGCACAGUGGGGGGAAGACUGAUGAGGCAACGCCGCGUGCGGGAUGAAGGCCCUCGGGUUGUAAACGGAUUUCGCCUGUGACGAAGCGUGAGUGACGGUAACGGGUAAAGAAGCACCGGCUAACUACGUG